UCUGGUUGAUCCUGCCAGUAGUCAUAUGCUUGUCUCAAAGAUUAAGCCAUGCAUGUCUAAGUAUAAGCAAUUUAUACAGUGAAACUGCGAAUGGCUCAUUAAAUCAGUUAUCGUUUAUUUGAUAGUUCCUUUACUACAUGGUAUAACUGUGGUAAUUCUAGAGCUAAUACAUGCUUAAAAUCUCGACCCUUUGGAAGAGAUGUAUUUAUUAGAUAAAAAAUCAAUGUCUUCGGACUCUUUGAUGAUUCAUAAUAACUUUUCGAAUCGCAUGGCCUUGUUCUGGCGAUGGUUCAUUCAAAUUUCUGCCCUAUCAACUUUCGAUGGUAGGAUAGUGGCCUACCAUGGUUUCAACGGGUAACGGGGAAUAAGGGUUCGAUUCCGGAGAGGGAGCCUGAGAAACGGCUACCACAUCCAAGGAAGGCAGCAGGCGCGCAAAUUACCCAAUCCUAAUUCAGGGAGGUAGUGACAAUAAAUAACGAUACAGGGCCCAUUCGGGUCUUGUAAUUGGAAUGAGUACAAUGUAAAUACCUUAACGAGGAACAAUUGGAGGGCAAGUCUGGUGCCAGCAGCCGCGGUAAUUCCAGCUCCAAUAGCGUAUAUUAAAGUUGUUGCAGUUAAAAAGCUCGUAGUUGAACUUUGGGCCCGGUUGGCCGGUCCGAUUUUUUCGUGUACUGGAUUUCCAACGGGGCCUUUCCUUCUGGCUAACCUUGAGUCCUUGUGGCUCUUGGCGAACCAGGACUUUUACUUUGAAAAAAUUAGAGUGUUCAAAGCAGGCGUAUUGCUCGAAUAUAUUAGCAUGGAAUAAUAGAAUAGGACGUUUGGUUCUAUUUUGUUGGUUUCUAGGACCAUCGUAAUGAUUAAUAGGGACGGUCGGGGGCAUCAGUAUUCAAUUGUCAGAGGUGAAAUUCUUGGAUUUAUUGAAGACUAACUACUGCGAAAGCAUUUGCCAAGGACGUUUUCAUUAAUCAAGA
rnacentral:rRNA from 1 species